GAUUGGCCAUUUUCCCGACGACACACCUGAGCGAUUUGACAUGCCCCUCCGACGACACACUUGAGCGAUUGAGUCUCCCUUCAACGACACACCUGAGCGAUUGGGAACGACAUACCUGAGCGAUCCUCGACGAC
rnacentral:sRNA from 1 species